GGGGGUAUAGCUCAGCUGGUAGAGCGCUACCUUUGCACGGUAGAAGUCAGCGGUUCGAAUCCGCUUACCUCCA
rfam:Pseudanabaena sp. PCC 7367, complete genome.